GCUGGGCAUGGUGGCGCCUGCCUGUAAUCCCAGAGACUUGGGAGGCGGAGGCUGGAAGAACUCAAGUUCAAGGCCAGUCUGAUCAACUUGGUGAGACUCAGUCUCAA
rnacentral:sRNA from 1 species